UCCGCGAUGGGUCAGUUGGUAGAGUAUCUGCUCGGCACGCGGCGUGUUGCCGGUUCAGUUCCGGCUUGCGGGC
rnacentral:tRNA from 1 species